GUCCUUUUGAUUUCUAUUUAAGGUCUGACCUGCCCACUGAUAUAUUUAAUGGCCGCGGUAUUCUGACCGUGCAAAGGUAGCAUAAUAAUUUGUCUUUUAAUUGAAGGCUUGUAUGAAUGGUUGGACGAGAAAAUUACUUUCUUUAUAAUAAAAUUAUUAACUUUAUUUUUUAGUUAAAAAGCUAAAAUAUUGUUGUAGGACGAGAAGACCCUAUAGAACUUUAUAUUUGUUUUUAUAUUAAUAUUUUUGGUUUAUAAUAUAUUAUAUUUAUAUAAAUAUUUUGUUGGGGCGACAAGAAAAUUUGUUUAACUUUUUUUAUUAAUUUCAUUAAUUAAUGUAUAAAUGAUCCUUUAUUAAAGAUAAAUAGAAUAAGUUACCUUAGGGAUAACAGCGUAAUUUUUUUGGAGAGUUCUUAUCGAUAAAAAAGUUUGCGA
rnacentral:rRNA from 1 species